CAGAUCAGUAUACUCUCUCUGAAAAUCAAUUUGCAAACAAGAUGAAGCAAAAGAGUCUUGAACUUCAGCUUGCUGAUUUGAAAAUUAAGCAACACGAGGAGAAAUCACAGCAGGAACAGUCCCAGAUGAAAAUUUAUGCUGACCAAGUGUCGCAAUUACUGGCAACAGAGAAGAACUUACGGUUGCAAUUGACUGCCGAUGGAGAAAAGUUCCAGCAGUUCCAGGAAGCUUUGCUGAAGAGCAAUGAGGUUUUUGAAACGUUUAAGCAAGAUAUUGAGAAGAUGGCAAAAUCAUUAAAAGAACUCAAGAAGGAGAAUGCUUUCUUGAAGGGCAAAUGUGACAAGUCAGAUGUUACUCUUAUAGAACUUGCUGAGGAGCGUGAAUUCUUGAAGAAACAGUUGGAGAAAACAAGGAACCAGAAAGAGAAGCUUGAAGCAUUGUGUAGAUUGCUUCAAGCAGAAAGGAAAGCACAAUCAUUAGCUUCCAGCAACUCAAAUUCAGUUAAAGCUUGAAAAUUUCUGUAUAUUAAAUCAUACUAUGAAGGUUUUGGCUGCACAUAUUGAAUCAAGAAACAAUCUGUCUGAUUUUGGCUGCACAUAUUGAAUCAAGAAACAAUCUGUCUGAUUUUGGCUGCACAUAUUGAAUCAAGAAACAAUCUGUCUGA
rnacentral:misc_RNA from 1 species